GAUGAACGCUGGCGGCGUGCCUAAUACAUGCAAGUCGAGCGAACGGACGAGAAGCUUGCUUCUCUGAUGUUAGCGGCGGACGGGCGAGUAACACGUGGAUAACCUACCUAUAAGACUGGGAUAACUUCGGGAAACCGGAGCUAAUACCGGAUAAUAUUUUGAACCGCAUGGUUCAAAAGUGAAAGACGGUCUUGCUGUCACUUAUAGAUGGAUCCGCGCUGCAUUAGCUAGUUGGUAAGGUAACGGCUUACCAAGGCAACGAUGCAUAGCCGACCUGAGAGGGUGAUCGGCCACACUGGAACUGAGACACGGUCCAGACUCCUACGGGAGGCAGCAGUAGGGAAUCUCCCGCAAUGGGCGAAAGCCUGACGGAGCAACGCCGCGUGAGUGAUGAAGGUCUUCGGAUCGUAAAACUCUGUUAUUAGGGAAGAACAUAUGUGUAAGUAACUGUGCACAUCUUGACGGUACCUAAUCAGAAAGCCACGGCUAACUACGUG
rnacentral:rRNA from 1 species